rnacentral:rRNA from 1 species
AUACGUAGGGAGCGAGCGUUGUCCGGAAUUACUGGGUGUAAAGGGUGCGUAGGCGGCGAGAAAAGUCAGAUGUGAAAUGCCGGGGCUUAACCCCGGAGCUGCAUUUGAAACUUUCCAGCUUGAGUGAAGUAGAGGCAAGCGGAAUUCCCUGUGUAGCGGUGAAAUGCGUAGAGAUAGGGAGGAACACCAGUGGCGAAGGCGGCUUGCUGGGCUUCAACUGACGCUGAGGCACGAAAGCGUGGGUAGCAAACAGGAUUAGAUACCCUGGUAGUCCACGCUGUAAACGAUGAUUACUAGGUGUGGGCGCAAAAGCGUCCGUGCCGGAGUGAACACAAUAAGUAAUCCACCUGGGGAGUACGACCGCAAGGUUGAAACUCAAAGGAAUUGACGGGG